GACGAACGCUGGCGGCGUGCUUAACACAUGCAAGUCGAACGGAAAGGCCCUGCUUGCAGGGUACUCGAGUGGCGAACGGGUGAGUAACACGUGGGUGAUCUGCCCUGCACUUCGGGAUAAGCCUGGGAAACUGGGUCUAAUACCGGAUAGGAGCCAUUUUUAGGGUGAUGGUUGGAAAGUUUUUUCGGUGUAGGAUGAGCUCGCGGCCUAUCAGCUCGUUGGUGGGGUGAUGGCCUACCAAGGCGGGGACGGGUAGCCGGCCCGGGAGGGUGGACGGCCACAUUGGGACUGAGAUACGGCCCAGACUCCUACGGGAGGCAGCAGUGGGGAAUAUUGCACAAGGGGCGCAAGCCUGAUGCAGCGACGCCGCGUGGGGGAUGACGGCCUUCGGGUUGGAAACUCCUUUCGCUAGGGACGAAGCUUUUUGUGACGGUACCUAGAUAAGAAGCACCGGCUAACUACGUG
rnacentral:rRNA from 1 species